UAAUAGUGCUACUUCACAUGAGUCUCUGUG
rnacentral:piRNA from 1 species